rnacentral:rRNA from 1 species
UACGGAGGGUGCAAGCGUUGUCCGGAAUCACUGGGCGUAAAGGGCGCGUAGGCGGCGCACCAAGUCAGGCGUGAAAGCCCUGGGCUCAACCCGGGAAUUGCGCUUGAGACUGGUGUGCUCGAGUACGGGAGAGGAUAGUGGAAUUCCCAGUGUAGAGGUGAAAUUCGUAGAUAUUGGGAAGAACACCGGUGGCGAAGGCGGCUAUCUGGACCGUAACUGACGCUGAGGCGCGAAAGCGUGGGGAGCAAACAGG